CUUAUUUUUACAUACAGGUGUGAGCCAUAUUUACUUACUUAUUUUUACAUACAGGUGUGAGCCAUAUUUACUUAUUUUUACAUACAGGUGUGAGCCAUAUUUACUUACUUAUUUUUACAUACAAUACAAACACUUUAAAUAAAGUUGAAGAUCAUCUCCAUGGACCAGGUGGUCAAGCCGAACACCCAGGAUCCAGCUGUCAAGUUCAGGGUAGCCCCUGAGCUUCUCACUCUGACUCCAACAGGGUGAGCUUGCUAUCCUUGUGGCACAGGGCCUUUUGCAUUGUGGAUGAUGGAGCGGCUCGUAUAGUCCAUAAGUUUUGUGCGUAGCUGUGUACCCUGUCCCUGUGAGCUGGUUCUGCCCGGCACCUCGGUGACCUCGAGGAAAGAAGCUGAGAGACAGAGUCUUGCUUUGUCACCCAGGCUGGAGGGCAGUGGCACCAUCAUAGCUCACUGCAGACUCGAACUCCUGGGCUCAAGGGAUCCUCCUGCCUCGGCCUCCAAAAAUGGAUAAGAACUCAGGCAAAAGUGCCAGCAGCCACAGAGGUUUCCAGCCAGAAAGAGCAACACCCCAAAGAUUCCAUAACAAUACCAGAAGGAAAAAAAAAAAAA
rnacentral:lncRNA from 1 species